GUCUACAGUGCUCAAUUGGUAGAGCAUGGUGUUUACAACGCCAGGGUUGUGGGUUCGAUUCCCACGGGGGACC
rnacentral:tRNA from 1 species